rfam:Schistosoma mattheei strain Denwood, Zambia genome assembly, scaffold: SMTD_scaffold0003690
AUCCAGAUGACGAGUCCCAUCUGGGACGAAACACACAUCCUGGAU